GAUGAACGCUGGCGGCGUGCCUAAUACAUGCAAGUCGAGCGAACAGACGAGGAGCUUGCUCCUCUGACGUUAGCGGCGGACGGGUGAGUAACACGUGGAUAACCUACCUAUAAGACUGGGAUGACUUCGGGAAACCGGAGCUAAUACCGGAUAAUAUAUUGAACCGCAUGGUUCAAUAGUGGAAGACGGUUUUGCUGUCACUUAUAGAUGGAUCCGCGCCGCAUUAGCUAGUUGGUAAGGUAACGGCUUACCAAGGCAACGAUGCGUAGCCGACCUGAGAGGGUGAUCGGCCACACUGGAACUGAGACACGGUCCAGACUCCUACGGGAGGCAGCAGUAGGGAAUCUUCCGCAAUGGGCGAAAGCCUGACGGAGCAACGCCGCGUGGGUGAUGAAGGUCUUCGGAUCGUAAAACUCUGUUAUUAGGGAAGAACAAAUGUGUAAGUAACUAUGCACGUCUUGACGGUACCUAAUCAGAAAGCCACGGCUAACUACGUG
rnacentral:rRNA from 1 species